AAAGAACCUUGUGCCAUUUCUUAGCCUAAGCAGAAAGUAGACCUGACAGUUUCAAGCUUUUUACUUUCCAGAGGCCUAAGCUGCUGCGAAAGAAGCUGGAUUGCCCUGUUGGAGAGACUAUGUGAAAAGAUACAGAGAGACAGAAAGACCUAGAGACUGCAUGGAGGAAAAUUAAAGAAUCCAGCUGACAGAAAUCUGGGGCACCAAACAUACAACCCCAGUUAGGUGAUUCCAGCCAACACCAGCUGUCCAAGCCACCCCAGCUGAGGUAUCAGACAUCUGGAAAAAACAACCAACCAACCAGAGGUCCUUCAAGAAGAGUCAUGAAUUAGAAUGAUAUAUGCCAAAGCACCUUUCAGAGUUUAAUUCUUUGCAUAAUUUUAGACUCAAAACUGGAAUUCUGGACAUAGAUAUGACCUUCGAGAACCAUCCAGUCCUGUCUCUUCAUUUUACAGCAAGAAGAUGGCCAUCUCCAACUGUAAGCCAGGAAGAGAGUCCUUUCCAGGAACUGAAUCAGUUGGCACCUUGAUCUUGGACUUCCAAGCAUCUAGAACUGUGAGCAAUAAACGUCUGUUGCGUAAGCCACCCAGUCUAUGGUAUUUUGUUAUAGCAGCCAAACUGACUAUGGCAGAAAUCUUUCAUAGGAGACCAUGAAAGAUUACACUAGAAAUUAAGACGUAGGAGCCCCUAACUCUAUUUCUGGCUUAAAUAGUAGAAAAAAAAAGUGAUUAGAACAUUAAGUCGAGGGGUGACUUCUACCUCUCAGCUACAUUAUUUUCAUUUCUAAAUUAUUACCUUCAACUAGAUACUAUGAGGUCUUUAAAUUUUGAUGAUUCUCUGAUUUGACCCUGAUUAUGCCUCAGAUAUACCUAAUGUGGACUCAGAAGACAUGAUUUUGUAAACUCUGUGAUCUCCAUAUAGGGGACUAGGCUGUGGGACUCAUGAAAACUGUUGGUUGGGCUUUAAUAACGAUUUUGUGGAACACUGAGUGCCACAUAAAUUUUCAGUUCUUUUGAGGAUAAUUGGCUAGAAUUUCAGUCUGAUAUUAAAUCUAAUUUAAAGCUAGAUUCUCAAUUUGUCUCCCAAGACCCUAACUUCCCACCCUCAUAUUUAAGCUGCAAAUAAAUUCUAGAUAGUGUGAACCAUUUCUUUGCAAGCUAAUUUCUUCCUUUAUUUAUCUCUGAGGGUCAGGUCAAUUUGCUCCACUUCAUGUUCUAAUCACUUUUCUCUGAAGAGGAAAGAAAGAAACAUGACAGCACAGACAGAUUUUUCACAUGGGCAAUUGCAAUACAAAAAUAAUGAAACUGUCCAGACCACUGGAAUAUAAUAUUAAUUUCAUAACAUGCAUGGGUAAGCUAUAUUAUAUAUAAUACUUACAGCACCUACAAUGAGGUCAAGUCUACUCAACCCAGAUUCUCUCUAUAGUUUACACCCAAGUUACAAGAAUCAAAACUGGGUUUUGUUUGUUUCUUUGUUUGUUUUUGGUAGUAAACUUCACCUGUUUUUCAGCCCAAUGGAGGAUGAAUAUUAAUAAUUUCAAGUCCAUAUAAUAGGCAUAGAAUAUAAUCACCAUAAAAUACAUUAUGUGUAAAAUAAGUGUCAAGAUACUAUCUUAGGAGAGGAGUUGUCAGGUUAAAAUAAAUAAAAUUUAAAUUUACCCACAGAAAUUUACCCUGGCAUUAUUAAAAGUCCAUUUUAAAAUGCUAUUGAUUCUUCUUAGAGCUUUUGGUAAAAUAGAACAAUAUAUCUCAUGGGGCCACUGUCAGAGUUCAA